rnacentral:lncRNA from 10 species
AGAUGCCAAAUAUUUAUUUAUUUUUUAGAUUUUUAGAGCAGCAUCCUUCAUCCUAAAACCUCAGGGUGUAUUUGAAUAAAAUUACAGAUAAUUAAAAUCUUUUAAGAAACUGUAAAAGCCUUAAAAACAAAAAUGAUAUUUUAUGGUUAAUAAAGCUAGAAUACAGACAUGAUUAUAAUGUUAUAUAAUCAUGUAUGUAAUUAUUACAUAAAUAAUAUAUAAUCAUCCUAAUAAACCGUGUAAUUUCAGCCACUCCUUCCCCUGAAGCUUGUCUAUUUAUAGGCCUGACAUGGUUGGCAUUGGGGAGAAGAUAGAUUCGGGGGGCUUGAGGAUUAAGCACAGUAUGUAACUUGGAAGGGCCUGUGCAGUUUACUAAUUUAAGAGAAUCUGUAUCUGAACUGAAUAAGAAAAACCAGCUUCAGGCUCAGAGGUGCCCUUACGAGAAUUACUUGGACCCUGUAAGCUGGUUUUUCUUGUGUCUCAUCCCACCUGCCCUGCUUCCUACUUGGCCUUCAUGCCUACUCCUCCCCACCCCUCCUGCCCCUCAACCAAACACACACCAGGAGCUCCUUCCUCUUCUCUGCCUUUUCACAUCCAACAAACUUCCCCGGUGACCCACGCUCGCCUUCCCUACCCAUCAUGCUCUGUGGCAGUGACAGUCCCUGCAGGGUACAUCAGCACACUUUCUGGUGACCUCUGAUCAUUUGCCAAUUUUCUACGCAUGCUGUUCUUACUUCCAUUUAGCCUGAACUCCUCCAAAGGCAGGUACAGGGGAUGGCCCUUCUUCUCUGAUUCUCAGUCACCCCUCUGUUUGUCCCUGGCUGAGGAGGGUCUGGUGGGCUAAAGAAGGCAGUGGAGGUCAUCUUGGGAUGGAAUCACACCUACUUCAGACAUAUCGCUAGUGCAGGGCUGGUUAAACACUGAUUUCUCCACCUGCCCUCUUUUCCCCACCACGAUUUCUGAUUCAGUGGGUUCAGGGUUUGACAAUUUGCAUUAUUAACCAAUUUCUACGUAAGGCUGGUGAGAGGACCACACUUUAAGCACCACUGGUUUAAAGAAAAAUCCUAAGAGCCUGUUGUAGUUUCAAGACUGCGAUGGUUUCCAACAUGAAAAUUAUUGUUAUCUCCUGUAGUUGUAUAGUGCUUUACCAAAUGCCUGUCUAAUGCUGUGUACAAAAGUCUUGUCUAAUUAUGAAGAGGUUGAGUGACUUGCUGAAGUCCUCCUAGAUGACAAGCAGGGGAGAUGGGGUUCAAGGCCAGGCAAUAGUUUGCAAGAUGAAGCACCCUGAACUCUGGGCC